rnacentral:rRNA from 1 species
GCCUACGGGACGCAGCAGUAGGGAAUUUUCGUCAAUGGGCGCAAGCCUGAACGAGCAAUGCCGCGUGAACGAGGAAGGUCUUCGGAUCGUAAAGUUCUGUUGAAGGGGAAAAAGAGCGGAGAGAGGAAAUGGUCUCCGAUUGAUAUUACCCUUCGAGGAAGUCACGGCUAACUACGUGCCAGCAGCCGAGGUAAUACGUAGGUGGCGAGCGUUAUCCGGAAGGAUUGGGCGUAAAGGGUGUGUAGGCGGCCUGCUAAGUCUGGAGUGAAAGGUACCGUCUC